rnacentral:misc_RNA from 1 species
GGAAUCGGAGCUGCGAGUCGAUGGAGUGCGUGUGAUUAAUGAGAUAUUUUACUUGAUUGAGGAUCUUACGAGUGGAUCGAUACCAUUCCACACGGUGACGGAGGUCGAGGGCCAGCUUCACCUCUUCUUCAUCGACGUCCCAAUUAAGGGGAGACUCUCAUGUGCAGUGCAUGUAAACCCUGAAGACCAGACUGUCAUUCAUCAAGAU